GCCGGGCGUGGUGGCGGGCACCUGUAGUCCCAGCUACUUGGGAGGCUGAGGCAGGAGAAUCGCUUGAACCUGGGAGGCGGAGGUUGCAGUGAGCCGAGAUCACGCCACUGCAGUCUAGCCUGGGUGACAGAGCGAGACUCUGUUUCAC
rnacentral:SRP_RNA from 1 species